AUUAUGGUGUUUCUAUUUUCAGGUAUGACUUAUCAGUGUGGAUAAUCAGCUCCAUGGUGAUGACAAACAACUUUGACAUUAUAUUUCACAUCUUGAUUUCUAACGUAACAGAUGACACUUGUUUGGUUGCUACGGCUAUAGCAUCAUUAUUACUAUCGCUCAUACUUGGAGUCAGUGAUUUGACCCCUAAAUAUGUAUCAUGAUCAUGUUUUCUGUCUUUCAUUCAGUCGUUUUAAUGAAAGGGACCCGAUAUGACAAGCUUCUUCCCGUUUAAUGGUACACUGAGUCACAGGAACACCAACUUAUUCUCGUCAUCAGAAUAAAUGAACACAAAAUGGCUGUGUGACUGAAGAUGAGGAGGAGACAGAUUAAAGGAAAUGUGGCUUUGAGGCGAAGAAUGACGGAGCUUUCCAAAUGAUUGUCUUUAAGAGCUGGACGGCAGGCAUAAGUGAAGAAAAAAGCAGGAUGGCAGCCAUUCUCUGAGAGUUCUGGCAUUCGCCACGUUCCAUUACUGGUCGGGUGGUAAGAUCGCAAACUUCCCGCUGUGCAAUCAGAUGACGAGAGAAAGUUCUGCGUUCCCCGCGGAACUCUCUAGUCGCUGCGCUGAGCUCCACAUAUACGGUUGCUAUUGGAAACAGAGGCUUGGCAGAGCUCUGGCGGGUAUGAAGUGAUCUCCGUCGCUCCCAGCUCAGAUCCAGUUUAAAGCACAUAAAUCCAGGGCGAGACCUUCGCUAUCAAACAUCAAAACUAAAAUCAAUACUGCUUUUAUUUCUAUCCACCUUAUGGGAGCAGGCGUGGCGAUUUGUAACUCAAAUGUGGGAGGCUUCAGAUAUUUUAGAUACACAAAAACAGCUUGAUAUUGCAAAUUGGUAUAUAGUUUUAAUUCAUUGUCAUUAAAAGUUUUUUUCAGUUUACUGCAUUUCUUCUAGGGCUAAUGAAGUCUCAUGCAUUCACAGAAAAAAAAGAAAGCACUUUUUGUUUAUAUACAGUAGAGGAUUUGCGCUUGUUGUAAAUUGUGGAAAUCAUUUUUCCUAUUAAAUAUUUAGAUAAUGCGGAGAGUUAAAUCUAAAAGUCUCAUUAAAUGUUCUGUAGAACGACCAUCAAAGGAGUUAGAAGCCGUUUUGAAGCACUUUUGUUUCCAGUGUCUCUAAGGUCUGCAUGGGGACGCUUUGGCAGUGUGUUUGCUUAUGAUGCAAUGCUGAAGCAUCUUCUCUCGAGCUGUCAACGGCCAUGCAUGUUACUCACAGCUUGUCUUUGCGGGUUCACAGCUGUGGAGAGGCCCAUAUUGCAUCUAGAGCAAGACGAGAAAAUAGAAAGUGAGAUCGGAAGAAGCGUGGA